GAUGAACGCUGGCGGCGUGCCUAAUACAUGCAAGUCGAGCGAACAGACGAGGAGCUUGCUCCUCUGACGUUAGCGGCGGACGGGUGAGUAACACGUGGAUAACCUACCUAUAAGACUGGGAUAACUUCGGGAAACCGGAGCUAAUACCGGAUAAUAUAUUGAACCGCAUGGUUCAAUAGUGAAAGACGGUUUUGCUGUCACUUAUAGAUGGAUCCGCGCCGCAUUAGCUAGUUGGUAAGGUAACGGCCUACCAAGGCAACGAUGCGUAGCCGACCUGAGAGGGUGAUCGGCCACACUGGAACUGAGACACGGUCCAGACUCCGACGGGAGGCAGCAGUAGGGAAUCUUCCGCAAUGGGCGAAAGCCGGACGGAGCAACGCCGCGUGAGUGAUGAAGGUCUUCGGAUCGUAAAACUCUGUUAUUAGGGAAGAACAAAUGUGUAAGUAACUAUGCACGUCUUGACGGUACCUAAUCAGAAAGCCACGGCUAACUACGUG
rnacentral:rRNA from 1 species